AUUGAACGCUGGCGGCAGGCCUAACACAUGCAAGUCGAGCGGGGUUUUCGGACCUAGCGGCGGACGGGUGAGUAAUGCGUAGGAAGCUACCCGAUAGAGGGGGAUACCAGUUGGAAACGACUGUUAAUACCGCAUAAUGUCUACGGACCAAAGUGUGGGACCUUCGGGCCACAUGCUAUCGGAUGCGCCUACGUGGGAUUAGCUAGUUGGUGAGGUAAUGGCUCACCAAGGCGACGAUCCCUAGCUGGUUUGAGAGGAUGAUCAGCCACACUGGAACUGGGAAACGGUCCAGACUCCUACGGGAGGCAGCAGUGGGGAAUAUUGGACAAUGGGCGCAAGCCUGAUCCAGCCAUGCCGCGUGUGGGAAGAAGGCCUUCGGGUUGUAAAGCACUUUCAGUAGGGAGGAAGCGUUGUGUGUUAAUAGUACACAGCGUUGACGUUACCUACAGAAGAAGCACCGGCUAACUCUGUGCCAGCAGCCGCCGUAAAAC
rnacentral:rRNA from 1 species